rnacentral:rRNA from 1 species
AUUGAACGCUGGCGGCAGGCCUAACACAUGCAAGUCGAACGAGUGGCGGACGGGUGAGUAAUGUGUGGGAAACUGCCUGAUGGGGGGGGAUCACUACUGGAAACGGUAGCUAAUACCGCCUACCAUCGGAUGUGCCCAGAUGGGAUUAGCGAGUAGGGGGGGUAAAGGCUAACCUAGGCGACGAACCCUAGCUGGUCUGAGAGGGUGACCGGCCACGCUGGAAGUGAGAAACGGUCCAGCCUCUUACGGUAGGCAGCAGGGGGGAAGAUUGCACAAUGGGCACAAGCCUGAUGCGGCCAUGCGGGGUGUAGAGAGAAGGCCUUCGGGGUGUAAAGUACGUUCAGCGGGGCGGCGGUACCGGCAGAGAAAGCACCGGCUAACUCCGUGCCAGCCGCCGCGGUAAUUC